CCAGAAGUUCAUGAAAAAACAAUCAAGGAAACAGAUGUAAUGAGUAGAGAUACUAUAGCAUGUCCAGUCUUAUAAGAAACCAGAAUCUUGAUUCCAAUAGGACAUGAGAGCACAAGUCUGGGGGGGUAUCAAAUAAGUAACCAGAGUUAACAUUUAUAUGAAAAAAGCAUGUAAUUAUGCACUUACUAUGUGUAAAGCACUAUUCUAAUGCUGGGGAUAUAAAUGGAAAAGUUAGCUAUUCCCUACUCCUAAGGAACUCAUAUUCUAUUGGAAGAUAUGGAUGGUUUCAUCUGAAAGUCAAAAGGAAAAGUCUCAGGGUCCUUACAAUGCCAAGUCAAAAUAAAAGAUUGUGAAGAUGAUAUAAAUGGGUGAUGGAGGUUUUACUCAACUCAGUCAGGCAAGAUGGUCUUCUCAAGCCCAGAGAUGGCUGUUCUCUCUCUGACUCAAGCCAGUAGGCAUUCACUCUGACUCCACUUCUCAAGGUAACAGAUUUAUUGGAGAUGUUGAGGAUUUUCCCUAACCACUAAUAAAGUUAUCUAUAUCCUACCA
rnacentral:lncRNA from 1 species